rnacentral:rRNA from 1 species
CCUACGGGUGGCAGCAGUGGGGAAUAUUGGGCAAUGGGCGCAAGCCUGACCCCGCAACGCCGCGUGACGGAAGAAGGCUUUCGGGUUGUAAACUUCUUUUCUCAGGGACGAAGCAAGUGACGGUACCUUCGGAAUAAGCCACGGCUAACUCCGUGCCAGCCGCCGCGGUAAUACGUAGGUGGCAAGCGUUAUCCGGAUUUACUGGGUGUAAAGGGCGUUUCGGCGGGACUGCAAGUCAGAUGUGAAAACCACGGGCUCAACCUGUGGCCUGCAUUUGAAACUGUAGUUCUUGAGUACUGGAGAGGCAGACGGAAUUCCUAGUGUAGCGGUGAAAUGCGUAGAUAUGAGGAGGAAAACCAGUGGCGAAGGCGGUCUGCUGGACAGCAACUGACGCUGAGGCGCGAAAGCGUGGGGAGCAAACAGGAUUAGAUACCCGGGUAGUC